GCCGGAGUGGCGGAAUAGGCAGACGCAGCGGACUUAAAAUCCGCCGAUCGUAAAAGAUCGUACCGGUUCGAUCCCGGUUUCCGGCACCA
rnacentral:tRNA from 1 species